AUUGAACGCUGGCGGCAGGCCUAACACAUGCAAGUCGAACGAGUGGCGGACGGGUGAGUAAUGUAUGGGAAACUGCCUGGUGGAGGGGGAUAACUACUGGAAACGGUAGCUAAUACCGCAUACCAUCGGAUGUGCCGAGAUGGGAUUAGCUUGUUGGUGGGGUAAAGGCUCACCAAGGCGACGAUCCCUAGCUGGUCUGAGAGGAUGACCAGCCACACUGGAACUGAGACACGGUCCAGACUCCUACGGGAGGCAGCAGUGGGGAAUAUUGCACAAUGGGCGCAAGCCUGAUGCAGCCAUGCCGCGUGUAUGAAGAAGGCCUUCGGGUUGUAAAGUACUUUUAGCGGGGAGGCGUUACCCGCAGAAGAAGCACCGGCUAACUCCGUGCCAGCAGCCGCGGUAAUUC
rnacentral:rRNA from 1 species